GCACCAGUGGUUUAAUGGUAAAAUCGAAGCUUCCCAUGUCUUAAUUGGCGUGGAAUCCCAGAUUACUGGGACCCAGAUGGCGUGCUUUGGCUCCGGGUUCGAUUCCCGGCUGGUGCA
rfam:Glarea lozoyensis 74030 unplaced genomic scaffold M7I_scaffold9, whole genome shotgun sequence.